rnacentral:lncRNA from 1 species
UGCUUUCGGUGAGUUGGAUUUUUAGGGUAAAUAAAAGGGAAUUUACGUGGGAUGCAAGGAAAGUGCCUAGCUGGUGGGAUAUCGAUAAGAAACUCAAAAUAUCCUUUGCUGGUAAGUUAAGAGCUUGAAAUCUUUUUAUAUUAACACAAAAAUAAAUAAAUUAAUAAUGUGUUUUUAGUUGUUUUAUAUUCUUCAUUUUGUUAAGUAAAAGAAGUAGCUAUAAGGAUAGAGUAGUAAUUCACUUAUUUCCCCUUUAUGCUGUUAAAAUUGCUAAGAGCGUUUGCUUG